CAGUAGCCGCGGUAACACGUAGGGUGCGAGCGUUAAUCGGAAUUACUGGGCGUAAAGCGUGCGCAGGCGGUUAUAUAAGACAGAUGUGAAAUCCCCGGGCUCAACCUGGGACCUGCAUUUGUGACUGUAUAGCUAGAGUACGGUAGAGGGGGAUGGAAUUCCGCGUGUAGCAGUGAAAUGCGUAGAUAUGCGGAGGAACACCGAUGGCGAAGGCAAUCCCCUGGACCUGUACUGACGCUCAUGCACGAAAGCGUGGGGAGCAAACAGGAUUAGAUACCCCUGUAGUCCCUGUCUCUUAUAC
rnacentral:rRNA from 1 species